CGGGAUGUAGCGCCAGCUUGGUAGCGCAUGUGCUUUGGGAGCAUAGGGUCGCAGGUUCGAAUCCUGUCAUCCCGA
rnacentral:tRNA from 1 species